UUACGGCCAUAUCACCUUGAAACACCGGUUCUCGUAAGAUUACCGAUGUUAAGAAACGUCGAGACUGGUCAUUACCUUGAUAGGUGAUCACUUGGGAAUACCAGGAGCUGUAAU